AUUGAACGCUGGCGGCAUGCUUUACACAUGCAAGUCGAACGGCAGCGCGGGCUUCGGCCUGGCGGCGAGUGGCGAACGGGUGAGUAAUGCAUCGGAACGUGCCCAGUAGUGGGGGAUAGCCCGGCGAAAGCCGGAUUAAUACCGCAUACGACCUGAGGGUGAAAGCGGGGGACCGAAAGGCCUCGCGCUAUUGGAGCGGCCGAUGUCGGAUUAGCUAGUUGGUGGGGUAAAGGCUUACCAAGGCGACGAUCCGUAGCUGGUCUGAGAGGACGACCAGCCACACUGGGACUGAGACACGGCCCAAGCUCCUACGGGAGGCAGCAGUGGGGAAUUUUGGACAAUGGGGGCAACCCUGAUCCAGCCAUGCCGCGUGCUGGAAGAAGGCCUUCGGGUUGUAAACCGCUUUUGUUCGGGAAGAAAUCCUCUGGGCUAAUACCCCGGGGGGAUGACGGUACCGGAAGAAUAAGCACCGGCUAACUACGUG
rnacentral:rRNA from 1 species